rnacentral:tRNA from 1 species
GCGUAUGUAAGUUAACUGGUAAACUUUUUGCCUUCCAAGCAGAUUUUAGGAGUUCGAGUCUCCUCAUACGUA